rnacentral:rRNA from 1 species
CGCCGCGUGAGUGAUGAAGGCUUUCGGGUCGUAAAACUCUGUUGUUAGGGAAGAACAAGUGCUAGUUGAAUAAGCUGGCACCUUGACGGUACCUAACCAGAAAGCCACGGCUAACUACGUGCCAGCAGCCGCGGUAAUACGUAGGUGGCAAGCGUUAUCCGGAAUUAUUGGGCGUAAAGCGCGCGCAGGUGGUUUCUUAAGUCUGAUGUGAAAGCCCACGGCUCAACCGUGGAGGGUCAUUGGAAACUGGGAGACUUGAGUGCAGAAGAGGAAAGUGGAAUUCCAUGUGUAGCGGUGAAAUGCGUAGAGAUAUGGAGGAACACCAGUGGCGAAGGCGACUUUCUGGUCUGUAACUGACACUGAGGCGCGAAAGCGUGGGGAGCAAACAGGAUUAGAUACCCUGGUAGUCCACGCCGUAAACGAUGAGUGCUAAGUGUUAGAGGGUUUCCGCCCUUUAGUGCUGAAGUUAACGCAUUAAGCACUCCGCCUGGGGAGUACG